GUCAUAGCUCAGUUGGUGAGAGCGUGGUGCUGAUAACGCCAAGGUUCGAUCCUCGGAUGGGACA